UCCUACGGGGGGCAGCAGUGGGGAAUAUUGCACAAUGGGGGAAACCCUGAUGCAGCAACGCCGCGUGGGUGAAGGAGCGUUUCGGCGCGUAAAGCCCUGUCAGCGGGGAAGAAGAAAGACGGUACCCGACCAAGAAGCCCCGGCUAACUACGUGCCAGCAGCCGCGGUAAUACGUAGGGGGCAAGCGUUAUCCGGAUUUACUGGGUGUAAAGGGAGCGUAGGCGGCAGUGCAAGUCAGAAGUGAAAGCCCGGGGCUCAACUCCGGGACUGCUUUUGAAACUGUACAGCUUGAUUGCAGGAGAGGC
rnacentral:rRNA from 1 species